rnacentral:lncRNA from 1 species
CACCACAGCAAAGGUACAGAAGCCAGAAAACACGGGGCCCGGCGAGCAACGAGGGGGAACACCAGGUGGCUGGCAGGGCGGUGGUAAUCCGGAACGCUGGAGAGGGAAAUGGAGCCUUUGAAGGCAGGUUAGGGAGUGUGGGCUUCCUUUGACAGCACCUGCUAAGCACUGAAAGCUCUUGAUCACAGUGGUGACAUGAUCCAGGUUGUGUUUUAGGGGAAGUAAUGGGACUCGUUUGAAAGAAGAUAGGACUGAAGAUGAGGGUACCACUUAGGAAGCUAGUCAAGCAAUGUAAUGUCCCGAAGGAGUUGCCACUGAAAGGAAGAAGGAGAAGGAGCCUUCAGGGACAGCAGCGGAGACGUGGCAGGGCGCAGUGUGGCCAGAAUCUGCAACUGACUGGCAGACAGAAACGCAGACAUGAGCCAAGUGCUCCGAGAUCUACCAGCCAAGGGCUCAAGCUGUCCAGGAAAACCUUGCAUACAAGAGAGACCACACUAAGACACCUCCAGUGCGGCCUACACUCAGAUCUGAUCAAUAACGUCGCUGUGGCUGUAUUUAACUCCCCCGGGGACACACUGAAGGUUUCCAGCUAGUUUGUUUUUCCUACAGGUCACACAGAGUGGGGAAAGGUGGAGAUAAGGGGACAUAAUGGGCAUUAUUUUAAAGAUUCAUUCAUUUAACAAUAGCACAUAGUAGGCACUGUUCUAGUUGCUUGGAUACAUCAAUGAACCAAUCAGGCAAAUUGUAUCUUAGAAGGUGACAGAUGUUCUGGAAAAAAAAAAAAAAAAAUAGAACAGGACUGGCUGGGAGGAGGCCGCUGAGGGAGACUUCUAGGAUGCUAUGAAAAUCCUAUAUCUUGGGAUGCCUGGGUGGCUCAGUGGUUGAGCAUCUGCCUUUGACUCAGGGUGUGAUCCAGGAGUCCCCGCAGGGAGCCUGCUUCUCCCUCUGCCUGUGUCUCUGCCUCCCUCUGUGUGUCUCUCAUGAAUGAAUAAAUAAAAUCUUAAAAAAAAAAAAAAAAAAGUAAGCCCUAUGUCUUGAUCUGGGUGAUGGUCAUAUGAGUGUACACAUAUAUAAGAGUUCACUGACCUUUACAUUUAAAAAUAAAUAAUAAAAAUAGAGCAGGGCUAAGAGAUUAAAACAGUCCUCUCCCCUAGAACCCACCAAAGCAUGUUCAAACAGUGUCCCACUGAGUUUCC